rnacentral:lncRNA from 1 species
AGUUGGACCGCGCCGCCGGUGUCCGAGGUCCGCGCCGCUGCCGUUACCGCUCGCCGCGGCGCUCAGAGCGGUUUUGCAGCGUGCGGCCGAGCUCCUCCAGCGUUGCCUCGGCCUCGGAGCACCCAGGCAGAACAUUUCUGAAAUAUAAAGAUGUUCAUGAGGAGUUUCUCUGAAAUUAGCCCUCCGGCUGCACAAGCGAGCCGCCCCGGGGACUUCUCCAGGCAAGAAUGACAACAGGGCUGUGUCCUCGACCCCUCGAUUCAGUACCUUAGACCAGCAUCAGGGAACCUCCCACAGGGGAGGCCAAUCAGCUGCCCUGCCCCAAAGAAGAGUUUUUAGCAGGAGAGAGAAGAAAGAAGCCACAAAGUGACAAGAGUGACCAGAACUGCGGGCCAGACAGAUUUCAGACUCUGAGGAAGAACCACAUCUUGUCCUUUGUGCUCUUCGCGGCACCUCUGAACAUCGAGGGACAUGAGACGGCUUGGGAACUGGUGACUGUAUGUGGCCGUGGACACCACGCUGAGCGCAGACUGUGGUUCAAGGCGGUGGCGGGUGGCGAUGCGUUACCUGUGAGGUCGCAGCCUGCCUUCCCUGGGCUGGCCGUCAGCCCUUCUCUCCCAAGUCACGCGGGAGGAAGGUGAUUUCGUCCCGACUGCCACCCUGCCCCCCCUACGCCCCCACCCCCACCGGCAGCCAGAUUAGCCCGGAUGUCCGUAAGGUGGCAGAUGCUUAGUCCCGUUGCCUGGGUUCUACCUGAGAGGUACUGCUGGCCGCCAUGCACUGCACUAACCCUGCAAGUGCCCUUGAACCCUCUGGUCCUUCCUGACCUUCUUAUGCCUUAAGAAGGGGGAGGCAGGGAACAAGCAAGGCGUCAGGAUGUUGGAGAGGCAGCCGGUGUCCUGGUUAAAGAGGGCCGGCUUGGGGGCACCCUCAGCAGGACCCUGGAACUCUUUGAGAGCAAGGUCUAUGUCUGAAACAUCUCUAUUUUCAAGUGCCUCGCUCCAUGCCUGGCACGUAGUAGGUAUUUGCCUGGCACAGAGUAGGUGAGCAGCGCUCCUGUAGUGAGCAGCAACCCAGGAGUGCGAGGAAGUGACUGGGAGAACUGAUGUUAACAACUGGGCUGAAAGGUUCCCCCCCGGGCCGCCCCCCAGGGGUACACCAUCCUCUUGGUGUAUGUCGGAAUUCUGAGUCAAGCACAAAAUGCAGACACCCCUUGUCUUUUGUUAGCUGCAGACUCUCUCUCUCCCCUGCAAAAAAGGGGACUACUUCUGUCUGUCCAUCCAGGGACUUUUAUGGCCUCGGCGCUCUGAUCUAAAUUUCUUUAAAAGCCAGUGAGUUAGAAAUGUUCAUGGUGGGAUCCUAAGAGCUGGUCCUGGGUUGGGCACUGCCCAGAAGAACUGCAUGUCCUCAGCAUCCAAGGCUGCCUCUGAUCAGCUGUACUUGAGCCUGGUGAAGAUGUGAGCAGAUCGUCGCGCGUUGAGGAGAGAAAGAAAGGGAGGGCCCGGACCAGCCGCCUCGCUGUCUGCUUACCAAAGGCUCACCGCUCCCGAGGUCGUCCCUGGGCAGGAGGCCAGCUGGUCACUGGGUUUGGGGGCUCCUGUCUUGGAAGCUUCUAGCUGGCACGUCCUGGGUCUCCAGCGGACCCUCUCAGAUACUCUUCCCACGACAACCCCGAGACCAAACGAGUCAGACAUGAUUAAAGAGGCAGAGGAGGCUGAGAUGGCUAAUCCAGGGAAGGCUCCUGGGAGAGCAAGGACUGGACGGCUGGGGGCCUCUCAGCGCGGCACUGCUGGGGAGCUGGCACCGGCGGUUCCAGACAAACUGUCCCAAAGGCUUCUGGGAAGUGGCUCCAGCAACUAGAAGGAAAGCUGUAAAGCACUUUAUGGUGUGCGAAGUGACCCCCCCACCCCCACUCCCCACCCUGGAGGACCCCGAGAGAAGCACCACGAGGCUCUUCUGACGGGCGCUGGCGAGCUGGCCAUCCUUGCAGGGGCUCAGCCCCACUCCCGGGGGCGUGAGACUGAGGACGACGGCACUGACCACCGAGCGUUCCGUGCUUCACACGCAGCAUCUCAUUUAAUCCCCCCAUCGAGCCUUGAAACGGGCCGUUUCUAUCCUCACAUUACAAAUGAAGAAACUAAGACAUGGAGAGGCCAAAUAACUUGCCCAAGGUCAUGCAACUAAGAAGUAGGGGAAUAGGAUUCAAAGCCAGGUCUGCCCAACAGCCGGGCUUUUGAAAGUUCUCGUUCUCCCACUGCGGGAUUUUUUGCAUUCCCUGUGCUGGGAUAACCAGCCCAUCUCCUGUCCCCCGUUACAUGGUUUUCUUGAAACAGUUCUGCUUCUCCAGUCUCUCCUGUGGCCCAUUAAAGCCACAAACUGGUUUCUAGGAGAACACGUCGAGUCGGUGCUGAGUGCUUCCCACCCCAUUAAAGCCGUGUUCACGACAAAUGCCCAGCUUCCUACUAGCAGUCACUGGACUUUCUGCUUCGGGAACCUGGGGAGAUCUGUGCUUAGGCUCUCAGUUCUGAAGAUAGGGUAAUAACAGGUGGAGCAAAGCAAGGACAUCUUAUUUCUGUUCCACCCUGACUGGACCUCAAACAGAGUUACCUGAAGAGCUGGAUUUGGCUGGGCUGGUUCAACUGUGGCCUUAGCUCAAGGGUUCUGUCUGCCAACCAGACUCCCCUCCCGUCCUCCAUGGGGCAUCCACUGAAAGGGGGAUGAAGUAUCCAAACUGGCUUUUUCACUCCUGGGUCUGGCGCCCCGGCGCUCUCCUAGGCGGCGUCUCGGUGGAGCGGCCUCAUCUUACAGUGUUGCCCUGGGCUCCCAGAACCCACUGUCCGUUCCCUUCUCCACUCCUUUCUGCCCCCCACCCCGCAGCCGCUUCUGUGGGGAAGGGUCUCAUUCAGCCCCCGCUGCCAGGUGGCUGUGCUGUAUCUCGUGACCCUGCUCUGCCCCCCCUACACACACACAUACAGGUCACUGGACCAGGAUCUAUAUAGGCUGGCCAACAACUUUUGAAGUCCCCUGGCUCAGAAAUAUAAAGAAAGCCAGUGAGACCAGUCAGAUUCCCCUUUUAGGAAACAUGAACCCCCACAUCAGACCAUACGGGCAGUGUGUGACAAGAGGUGGCGAGAACAGGAAGGAGCCUGGAGGGACUGAUGUGUUGGCCAGAAUUACAGCGAGGAAGAAAGCUGGAGAUUAAAAAAAAAAGCAAAACAAGCUGUGACACAGAAAAAAUGCACUUCUAGCGUCUUUUGGUGAAAAGAUAAAGGAAGGAAUGACCAGAAGGGAGCUGGGACUCUGAAAGGCAGAGAGACAGGCUGGCCCUGGAGCCACCCUGGGGCCCACUAGACCUGCUCUGCCCCAGUGGGUGUCACUGCAGUGAGCUCAUUACUUACUCCCUUUGCUGACUGUUGGCUUAGACGUGAGUGGGCACGUGACUUAGUUCUGCCAACAAAACUUACAGAGAAAUGGCCGGGGAACAUUCUGGGAAGAAGUUUGCUUUCUGAUCAAAAGAGGCAGAGAGACUGAAGAGGCCCAUCCCUUCGUCCUGCUUUGAACAUGGAUGUUUGAGAUGUGAUAGCUGGAGCUGGAGCAGCCAUCUUGAGACCAUGAGGCAAAAAGACCAAGCAAAAAAGCCAAUACACCAAGAUGGGCCAAGCAACAGAUUAAAAAAAGCCUGGGUCCUUGAUGAUAGCGUUGAGCCAUUAUACCUAUCCUGGAAUCACGUACUUCCAGUCUUAAUGAUCUAUCAAUUAAAUGUCUUUUAUUUUCUAAGCAGAUUUCUGCUAUUCGCAGCCUUCAGCUGUGGGCAGAGAAUGCUGGCGGUUGACAAGGACCAGAUUAUGCCUUCUUCGGAUCCACCCUGUAUCAAGCAGUGUGUGGUUCAUGUUGUUUGAACACCAGAAAAUGUGCCUGACCCUUCCCUUAUGAAAUGAGAGGCUGAACUCAGAACUCUAGCCCUUCCUCUCUAAAUUUCUAGUUUUAGAAGACAAAGAGAACCUGGCAUCGUCCUAAUGUACCCUUCAGAUGACAUAUUAUUCCACUACAUACAGAACUUGAGAAAAAUCAAAAGCCCGUUUCCCAUCUCGAAAGAGUCUUCAGCAGUAAAGACGCAUGGCCCGCAGGAGUUCACCCAGUAAAUGGGGCCCCCCCGAACAGAGAUGUGUUGCAAUCACAGCAGAAUUUGCACCCUCCAGCUGCUGGGGGUAAGCCACACACCGUCCUUAUGGAGUCCUGCCCCCGGGCCCAAAUGAGGCUCUGUUAUUAUUACUUCAUUCAUUCAGCAGACAUGGACUGAAUACCCCCUGGAAGAAGAAUUUAAGCUUAUAAAAGCAAGGUUAAUAUAAGGAAGCUAAAACAUUAGAGAUUUAAAAAAAAAAAAAAAUCCUCUGAGAUGAUCGGAGAAAAGAAUGAAAGCUUUGGUUGCAGUGGAAGAAGCAAAAUGUUGAAACCCCUACUUAAUGCAAUUAAUGCUUCAGUGUGAUACUUAAUCAACCCCUGAACUCUCCCCACCCCCUAAAGUUUCCCCAUAUGUCACUAAGGAUGCUCUGAAACCCAACAGGGAAGAGAACUGAAGGCUUUUCCUCCUUCUCCCUAAUGAAGGUUUUUCUCCAGAAUGAAUGAGCCUGAUUACUGACUAAAGGCCCUCCUGCGGUCUUUACGCCCAGGGUGCUGCUUUCCUGAGAGUUCUCCAAAGACGAGAGAAGGGGUUCCGCUCUCCCCAGAUGGCGCCACGCGGCUCUGACGCACUGGCUUCUCUCUCGCACGAAUGAUCUGACGUUCAGUGUGCUUCACGCUGCCCCCGACAGCUUUCCACAUUCAUCACAGGUGCCCGCUUCGAGUCCCAAGGAACGUGCUGACAGUCUAAGGCUGGAACUCUGGCUCCAGGCUCUUCCCCACCCAUUCUGCUCGCGGGGCUCCUGGCCGCUCUGAAAUCCCAGAUGUCUAAUUAGCUCUGAGCACAGUCUAAAAGCAUUCGCACAUCCGUUCUGUGCAUAUGGUUUUUCUCCAGUGUGAAUUCUCUGACGUUGAAUGAGCUUUCCUUUCCCGCAGGCGCCCACAUUGACGGCAUUUGUAGCACUUCUGAAUGUGAAUUAGCCGAUGCCAUGUGAGGCGUCAGAAAGCUGACGGAUGCCUCCCUCAAACAAGGACUCUUUCCAAAAUGAAUGUUAGAAUGUUCUGGAGGACGGGAGCCCUGAGAAAAGUCGCCUCCAUUCAUAACAAAGAUGUUCCCUCUAAGAUGCAUAUUGUAAUGUUGAAUAAAUUCUGAAUUCUAAGAUUUGGCCACAACCAUUUCCUCACUUCUUAGAAAAUGUGUGGAGAAUUGCAGAUUUUCCCAUAUGCAUCACGUUCCUGGGGUGGGGCCCCUAAAGGUUCUCGAGGAUCUCGCUGUAUCCACAGACCUGUCUACACUCAAACCUGGUCGGUGUCCCACAGGGACCUUCUCCAGGCAUCCAGCUCUGAGUUCCCACUCAGGCCACAUGGCUGUGCCCGGUCCCAGGUCACAAUAUGAAAUUACAGGAAAUGUACAUUUCAACCACUGUCUCUAUUUUCUUUGAUGUCUUUUUAGGGCUGAACUCAGGGCAUAUGGAGGUUCCCAGGCUAGGGGUCAAAUCAGCUACAGCUGCCGGCCUACGCCACAGCCACAGCAACGCGGGAUCCGAGAAGCGUCUGCAACCUACAGCACAGCACAUGGCGCUGCCAGAUCCUUAACCCACUGAGCUGAGCCAAGGAUCAAACCUGAGUUCUCAUGGACACUAGUUGGGUUCAUUACCACUGAGCCACAACGGGAACUCUUCAACCACUGUCUCUUACAAGAUCAAGUUUCUUGGACUAAGAAUAAAAGAUUUGGGGAGAUCAAUGAUAAGCAUACCUUUGGGCAAAUAUAUAAAGUGAUGGGUGUGACAGAUUGCUGGGUUUUGGUAUUUUUCUUUCUUAACCCAGUUUUCACCACAGUGAGAAGGUAGCCAUUAAAACCGCUCACGUUCUCUGGUGACCGGGAGGGAGCACGUGGGCAGGUGCAAGGAAGCUGUUCCCAGUGUUUCUUGAUCUGGAUGCUGGUCAGAGUGUGUUCAUUUCCCCAUCCUCCCAGGCAGCCCCAGGACAGUUCCAGCAAACGAGGUAGAAGCGGAACUGGGCUUUCAAGGAAACCUGUGACAGGGAGCAGACUCCAGAGCAGGAACCUCUUGCCUUCUCCCUACCUGCCCCACUUCUUUCUGCCGGAUCCUGGUCAUGACGCUGGCUCCUGCUGCAGCCAUCCUGUGAGCACAUGGAGAAGGGUCAAGGGCAGAAGAUGGCACAGCGACCCUGCAGACGGUGCCUGGUCCUGGUGGCCUUGAACUUCUCCCUUCCGGAAUUCUCACUGUUUUUAGUCUAGUGGGGGAGAAAUGAUUCACAUUUGAUGAUGGACGUAAGGCAUUUUUCCCUAUGUUUAUCACCUCUUGUUUUAAUUUCUGUCUNNNNNNNNNNNCCCUACCUUCUAAAACAUGUGUACUCAUGGAAUAUGUUAGUCCUUUGUGUGUCAAAAAUGUUGCAGAUUAAAAAAAAAAA